AUAAGGCUGAGACACGAUGUCGAGCUACUACGGUAGUGAAGUCAUUGAUGCCAUGCUUCCAGGAAAAGCCUCUAAGCUUCAGAUUGUAAGGAAUCGUACCCCAAACCGACACAGGUGGUCGGGUAGAGAAUACCAAGGCGCUUGAGAGAACUCGGGUGAAGGAACUAGGCAAAAUGGUACCGUAACUUCGGGAGAAGGUACGCUCUUGUCGGUGAAGUCCCUUGCGGAUGGAGCUAAUGAGAGUCGCAGAUACCAGGUGGCUGCAACUGUUUAUUAAAAACACAGCACUGUGCAAAAUCGUAAGAUGACGUAUACGGUGUGACGCCUGCCCGGUGCCGGAAGGUUAAUUGAUGGGGUUAGACGUAAGUCGACGCUCUUGAUCGAAGCCCCGGUAAACGGCGGCCGUAACUAUAACGGUCCUAAGGUAGCGAAAUUCCUUGUCGGGUAAGUUCCGACCUGCACGAAUGGCGUAAUGAUGGCCACGCUGUCUCCACCCGAGACUCAGUGAAAUUGAAAUCGCUGUGAAGAUGCAGUGUACCCGCGGCUAGACGGAAAGACCCCGUGAACCUUUACUACAGCUUGGCACUGAACAUUGAGCCUACAUGUGUAGGAUAGGUGGGAGGCUUUGAAGUGUGCACGCCAGUGUGCAUGGAGCCAUCCUUGAAAUACCACCCUUGUAUGUUUGAUGUUCUAACUUAGACCCAUUAUCUGGGUUGAGGACAGUGCCUGGUGGGUAGUUUGACUGGGGCGGUCUCCUCCCAAAGAGUAACGGAGGAGCACGAAGGUGGGCUAAUCACGGUUGGACAUCGUGAGGUUAGUGCAAUGGCAUAAGCCCGCUUGACUGCGAGAAUGACAAUUCGAGCAGGUGCGAAAGCAGGUCAUAGUGAUCCGGUGGUUCUGUAUGGAAGGGCCAUCGCUCAACGGAUAAAAGGUACUCCGGGGAUAACAGGCUGAUACCGCCCAAGAGUUCAUAUCGACGGCGGUGUUUGGCACCUCGAUGUCGGCUCAUCACAUCCUGGGGCUGAAGUCGGUCCCAAGGGUAUGGCUGUUCGCCAUUUAAAGUGGUACGCGAGCUGGGUUUAGAACGUCGUGAGACAGUUCGGUCCCUAUCUGCCGUGGGCGUUGGAAGAUUGAAGGGGGCUGCUCCUAGUACGAGAGGACCGGAGUGGACGAACCUCUGGUGUUCGGGUUGUGUCGCCAGACGCAUUGCCCGGUAGCUAAGUUCGGAAUCGAUAACCGCUGAAAGCAUCUAAGCGGGAAGCGAGCCCUAAGAUGAGUCUUCCCUGACCCCU
rnacentral:rRNA from 1 species